CAGGGGACUAGUCGACCAACGCAUUAUCAUGUGCUGUAUGAUGAAAAUAAAUUCACUGCAGACCAGCUACAGAGUUUGACCAAUAACUUGUGCUACACUUAUGCGAGGUGUACUCGAUCUGUCUCAAUAGUUCCUCCUGCCUAUUAUGCACACUUGCUAGCUUUCCGCGCUAGAUACUACAUAAGUGAAGUUGAAAAUUCUGAUUCUGGUUCUGCAAGUGGAAAUAGGAGUGCCACCAACUUUGUGUUGACUCUGCCAUCUAUCUUGGAAAACGUCAAAGAAGUAAUGUUUUAUUGUUGAUCUUGAUUUGUCGUACAAGCUUCGAGGAUAGAUUUGGGAGUUAGGAUAUUCACCAUGCCUUUUUUGGAUAUACUACUUAUGCUGCCAUCUGUUUUUUUGGUUGAGCCUUAUUUUGUAUGGAUGUGCGAUAGA